rnacentral:lncRNA from 1 species
AGGAUUUGGUUUAAGAUUUAGAGUUUGGUUAGGAUUUGAUGUAAGGUUAAGAUUUGAUUAGGAUUUGGUUUAGGAUUUAGAAUUUGGUUAAGAUUUCAUUUAGGAUUUAGGAUUUGGUUUAGGAUUUGGUUAGGAUUUGAUUUAGAGUUUGGUUUAAGAUUUAGUUAGGAUUUGAUUUAGAAUUUAGGAUUUGGUUUAGGAUUUGCUUAAGGUUUGAUUAAAAUUUGGUUUAGGAUUUGAUUAGGAUUUGAUUUAGGAUUUAGGGUUUGAUUUAGGAUUUAGGAUUUUAUUAAGGUUUGUUUAGAGUUUAAGAUUUAAUUAAUUUUUGGCCUAAAUUUUGAAUGAAGUUCAAUAGGAUUUUAAUUAGAAUUAAAUUAAGAUUGAAUUGAGAUGUAUUUGAGAUAUAUUUGUGAUCAUUCUAAUAUUUCUUUAAGAUUUUUUAUUAUUUUUUUGAAUUUCUUUUGAAGUUUCUUUGAAUUUGAUUAAAUCUUGCUUAGCAUUAUUAUAGUCUAAUUAGAGUUUAGUUAGUAUUCUAUUAGAGUUAGGAUUUUGUUGUUGCAAUUUCUAUUCUACCUUCCAUAGCUAGGUGCCCGAAGCAUUCUCAAGCAAG